rnacentral:rRNA from 1 species
GACGAACGCUGGCGGCGUGCUUAACACAUGCAAGUCGAACGAUGAAGCUGGAGCUUGCUCUAGCGGAUUAGUGGCGAACGGGUGAGUAACACGUGAGCAAUCUGCCCUUGACUCUGGGAUAACUGCGGGAAACUGUAGCUAAUACCGGAUACUUUCACCGGGGGGCAUCCUCUGGUGGUGAAAGAAAUUGGGUCAAGGAUGAGCUCGCGGCCUAUCAGCUUGUUGGUGAGGUAACGGCUCACCAAGGCGACGACGGGUAACCGGCCUGAGGGGGUGACCGUUCACACUGAGACUGAGACACGGCCCAGACUCCUACGGGAGGCAGCAGUGGGGAAUAUUGCACAAUGGGCGCAAGCCUGCUGCAGCAUCGGCGCGUGAGGGAUGAAGGCCUUCGGGUUGUAAACCUCUUUUAGCAGGGAAGAAGCGAAGGUGACGGUACCUGCAGAAAAAGUACCGGCUAACUACGUGCCAGCCGCCGCCGUAA